rnacentral:rRNA from 1 species
GACGUAGGGCGCGAGCGUUGUCCGGAUUUAUUGGGCGUAAAGAGCUCGUAGGCGGCUUGUCGCGUCGACUGUGAAAUCCUGCGGCUCAACUGCAGGCUUGCAUUCGAUACGGGCAGGCUCGAGUUCGGUAGGGGAGACUGGAAUUCCUGGUGUAGCGGUGAAAUGCGCAGAUAUCAGGAGGAACACCGGUGGCGAAGGCGGGUCUCUGGGCCGAUACUGACGCUGAGGAGCGAAAGCGUGGGGAGCAAACAGG